rnacentral:rRNA from 2 species
UAAUACAUGCAAGUCGUACGCACUGGCCCAACUGAUUGAUGGUGCUUGCACCUGAUUGACGAUGGAUCACCAGUGAGUGGCGGACGGGUGAGUAACACGUAGGUAACCUGCCCCGGAGCGGGGGAUAACAUUUGGAAACAGAUGCUAAUACCGCAUAACAACAAAAGCCACAUGGCUUUUGUUUGAAAGAUGGCUUUGGCUAUCACUCUGGGAUGGACCUGCGGUGCAUUAGCUAGUUGGUAAGGUAACGGCUUACCAAGGCGAUGAUGCAUAGCCGAGUUGAGAGACUGAUCGGCCACAAUGGAACUGAGACACGGUCCAUACUCCUACGGGAGGCAGCAGUAGGGAAUCUUCCACAAUGGGCGCAAGCCUGAUGGAGCAACACCGCGUGAGUGAAGAAGGGUUUCGGCUCGUAAAGCUCUGUUGUUGGAGAAGAACGUGCGUGAGAGUAACUGUUCACGCAGUGACGGUAUCCAACCAGAAAGUCACGGCUAACUAACGUGCCAGCAGCCGCGGUAAUAC